ACAGAGUUUCGAAAAUUUGCAUAAUAUGUACAUGACUAUUAUUUUAUAAACCACUAUAAUUUUAAUUCGUGUUUCUACUGUUGGUUAUGGUAUUAGUUAUAAAAUGAAGUAGCAAUAAUGUAGCAUACCUAAUAAAAAAAAUCUUUAUUAUAACAAGAAAGAAACUGACUUAUAUGUUGGUAAGUAUUUCAUUAUUUAGGAUUUGAAUUUUCCUAUUGAAAUAUUAUGUUGCUAUUUAUCCAUGAUAACAAUUAAUGUUUAUUUUUCAAGGUUGUUGGUCAUUAACUUAGUUACAUAGGUACAGUAUUUCCUAAUACAUUUAGAGUUAAACAAUAAGCAAGUUUCACUGUGAAUCAAUGAGAUUGGUUGAUCAACAUUGUUUCAUUGUUUAUCACUUUAUUUUAUAAUCAUGGGUAUCACAUAAAAUAACAAUAGCAUUAGGCUACUACUGCCUAUAUCGUACCUAUAUUUUGAGUUUUCUGUGGAGAACAAAUGGCUCAAGUUAAUGAAGCUAAUGAAAUAUCAAAAACCUACCAA